AGUGUGGGUUUUGCUCAUCGUUGAAGGCCGUAGGUGACCUUAUAGUUGCUUACAUCCAUGUUCUUUAGUCUCUGGUUGAUUGUUGUCUCAUUGGCAAUUAUACCAUUUUCAUAUUUUAUAAUACUUUUGACCUGUAAGCUGCUGUGGUAUUUAUUUCUUUAACAGAUGACCCUGAUAUUGUGACAAUAACAGUAUCUGCUUUAACAACUCCUUCGACCGUUGUUCCAAUGACAACCACAGAAACCACCACCAAGACGACUACAACGUUGUUUGACUCAAGCAAUAGAAAUAUUUCCUACCAUUUACAUGAAACCUUGGAAGGAGUCCGUUCUGACGAAGCUUUACCUCUAUGUAACUCAUUAGAUAUGAAUAUUGCAACAAUAAAAUCUGUACUUAUCUAUAACUCAGUGAAGGAUUACCUCGGCGGUAUUGACAUGGGAAGCCGAUGUAUGUGGAUCGGACUCUAUUGGAAGCUAGAAACAUUACGUCACGAGUGGGAAGAUGGUGAACCCCUUACCUGGGCACAAUGGUAUAAUAAUAACCCUUCUUGUAUGAAACCAACGAAUGAUAUUCGCUGCAAUGGUAUUGAAAGGAACUGCGUGUCCUUUACUCAGGCCUUUAAUUUCAGAACUAAGGAUUGUAAUGGAGUGUGUAAUGUUUUAUGUGAAAGCAACAGGUCAUCUACAGUGAUAACAACAAGUAAUAAUAAGUUAACGUCUGCCACACCUACAGAGGAAUUGUCUACAACAACAGAGCUCGAGGUUACAAAAAUUAUUACAGCAUCUCCGGCUUUGAAAACUUUAUGGACGGUUGGAACAUGGUCAUACCAAUACAUUCAGCUUGAUAAUGAAGUUGUGAAUUGGACCCAAGCACUGCAACUGUGUAAAGGGAGGAACAUGGACAUCUUAAUGAUCAAAGAUGCAGUAAUAACACUGGUUAUUGGAUUGGUAUGGUAUGGAACGAAAACAUUCAAAAACACAAAUGGCUAGACAAUUACACAGUUACGUGGACCAAAUGGGCCAACGAAGAACCGAAAUGCAUGGCAGGAUGGAAUACGUUGUGGUCUUUAGAAUGUUUAGGAAAAAUAAAAAAUUGUGUCGUUUCUGCUGGCUCUUUUUUCAGGACUAGAAACUGUUUAAAUCUACAUAAAGUCAUCUGUCAACAGUAUAUACAAAUGGUUGGAGCACCAACUUACGAGAAGGAAGUCGAAACACGACCAAAAGUUCUUUACUGUAAAUGUUCUAUGCGGAAAAUAAACAAGAAAUGGCACUUUCUUGAUGGAGCUAACAUUUCGGAAACAAAAGUUGAAAACUUGGUUCAGAAAGACUUUGAAGAUAACGUAAAGGGAAAUAUAAGCGUUAACAAGAAAUCGCUGUCCAGUGUAAUUCAGAAAAAGAAUUCUAUAGAUGACAAAAGGCCUGAAUCUAAAGCAAUAGGAUGGUCGGCAACACUCUUUGUAGCAAUUCCAGUUAGUUUUAUUAUAUUAGUUGAUGUAAUAGACAUGGUGAAAUAUCUACAGAAACGAAAUUAAAACACCUUAUGACUGAGUGUAGAUUCGAAUGGUAGAUUAGGCAUGUAAGAGACGAUUACCCUGUUGACUCAACCAGUAUUGCUUUUUUCUUUCAUUUCUGAGAUAUGAAAACUACUGCCUCAAAUUUAUACACAGAAAAUUAAGAUCAGUAUAAUGUAUAAUAUUUUAAAAAAAGGAUCAAUCGGAGAGAGAGAGAGAUGCACUAUAGUAUAAACUUUGUUAUACUAUAUACUAUGUUAUACUAUAAUCUAUUUAUUUCUUAACUAACUUCAGUUCAUAGUAAAUAGUUAGCACAACAUGUCAUGACUUUCUAGAAAAGAAAUAUCUAUCUAUAAAAUCUAAAAAUAAUCAAAUGCAUUUUGAUCUUAACACCAUUUAUCUCGCACACUCCUUUCAGUAAUCUAUCUACUGAUUUUCAGUGUUGCAUUCUCCACUAAGCAUAGUAUUUUGAUUAGAUUAAAACCUCAAUGCUUUUUGUUGGAAUGUGACAGUGAAUUAUCACUGUCUGAGACUCAGAUGAUAUAUUUUCAUAAGAGUGACCACCGUUCAACUAGAUCAAAGUCCAAUGUACAAUAUUUCUUAUAGUAUCAGAGAAAAACAAACCAUGCAUCUCUGCCUAUACCGAAAACAGCAUUUGUACAAAUUUACUGAUUAUGUAAAUACUUUUUGAAAUUUUGUUUUAUUAAAUGUAUAAGUAAAGUCUUUUUAUUAUGCUGAAUGUUUAAGUGGCGGUUGUAUGUAUUUCAUUUUUUUUUUCUUCAAAAUUUCUCUAAAAUUCCAUAUUUAUAAAAAAAAAAAUACUGUUGACAGAGAUAUGUCUCGCCUGUAUAUCAUUUUGAUAGAAUAAUAAUGCAAACGUUGGAAUUAAAACGGCAAUAAAUUAACAUGUAAACUAUGCAAAACAAAAAGACAAUGAACCAUGACUGAAGGUACAGGGCCAAAUACUAUCCUUGGAAAUGAGAUAUGCCAGUGCUAAAACAAUUUCACACCAGAGAUAUGCGAUAUGCCAGUGCUAAAACAAUUUCACACCAGAGAUAUGCGAUAUGCCAGUGCUUAUACAAUUUCAAACCAAAUACCAUUGACUUAACAUAAGUGGUUACCCUUAAACUGACAUAAACAUAAACUUUAAAAAGUAAACUAUGCAAAAACUCAAAAAUCUAUAGACUAUCACUGAGGGGGCGGUGUCAAACAAUCUGUAUGGAAAUGUAAUAUACAAAUGCAUACCAAAUAUCAUUGACCAACUACUAGUGGUUCCUCUUAAACUGACCUAUAGUACUUAUAAACUAAUAAAUUAUUGACGCUGCCGAUGCCGAUAACAGCACGUUAAUCUCCUCUUAAAGAAAGUGGAUUGGACCUCAACCCUUGAGUUAGCAAAGAUGAGGUAAAUAUAAAUUUGCAUGGUUUCUUAUAUACUUUAAAAAUAAGCAAGAAUAACGAUUCAUUUACAAUAGAAAAAAAUCUCUAUUUUAGCGAGGCAAG